rfam:Oryza sativa (indica cultivar-group) chromosome 3, whole genome shotgun sequence.
AAAAAGGCAAAACUUGGUUUCGUGUAUAAUGUUUGACUGUCUGUUUUAUUUGAAAAAAUUAUGAAAAAAUUUAAAAAGACAAGUCAUGCAUAAAAUAUUAAUCAUAUUUUAUCAUCUAACAAUAAUAAAAAUGCGAAUUAUAAAAAAAAUUUAUAUAAGACGGACAGUUAAAGUUGGACACGGAAACUAGGAUUUAUU